CAGCAUUCUGAGUAGCUGGGAUCACAGGUGCUCCCCAUCACACCCUGCUAAUUUAAUUUUCUUUGUAGAGACAGGGUCUUGCUAUGUUGCCUAGGCUGGUCUUGAACUCCUGGGCUCAAGUGAUCCUCCCGCCUCAGCCUCCCAGUGUUAGGAUUACAGGAGUGAGCCACUGCCUCUGCCUUCAGGUAGCAAUUUUAUUAGCAAACUAUAAGCCUAAAGUAAUAGUUAAAAUUCUCACUGUGAUAUUCAUUACUAACCCCUGAACCUGUACCCUUCAGCUUACCACUACAGUACUUCUGUAGUAGAGCGAGUAUGGGUUUUGGUAUCAGACAGGUCCAAAUUUGAAUUCUGAUUCUACCUUUCAUUUAUCAAAUGACUUUGGGCAAAGUACUUAACCUCUCUGAGCUUUAGUUCCCUUCUCUGUAAAAGAAUAAAAUAUUUCAGUCUUAUCGUGUAGAUGAUAUACAGAGGGCACAUAACAAAUGUUAGAUCUCUCAAAUGUUUUUCUGUAACCCAAAUAUGCUUACAACUGAUUAAAGAAUGUUCUCACU
rnacentral:antisense_RNA from 1 species